UGUAGGUGAAAGCUUACAUCUCUUCGGAGCAUUUUUACGAGGUGCUGCAUGGUUGUCGUCAGCUCGUGCCGUGAGGUGUCGGGUUAAGUCCCAUAACGAGCGCAACCCUACCUUUUAGUUGCCAUCAGGUAAUGCUGGGGACUCUAAAGGAACUGCCUACGCAAGUAGUGAGGAAGGCGGGGAUGACGUCAAAUCAGCACGGCCCUUACGUCCAGGGCUACACGCGUGCUACAAUGGCCGAUACAGAGGGCAGCUACCUGGUGACAGGAUGCAAAUCUCCAAAGUCGGUCUCAGUUCGGAUCGGAGUCUGCAACCCGACUCCGUGAAGUUGGAUUCGCUAGUAAUCGCGCAUCAGCCAUGGCGCGGUGAAUACGUUCCCGGGCCUU
rnacentral:rRNA from 1 species